UCCCUCUUAGCUCAGCUGGUAGAGCGUGUCACUAGUAACAAGUACGUUAUGACGAGGUCAGUCGUUCAAAUCGGCUAGCGGGAA